rnacentral:rRNA from 1 species
GGUCUUGGAAUAAGGGGUGGGUAAGGACGGUGCCAGCCGCCGCGGUAAUACCGGCGCCUCAAGUGGUAGUCGCUUUUAUUGGGCCUAAAACGUCCGUAGCCGGUCUGAUACAUUCGUGGGUAAAUCAACCAGCUCAACUGGUUGAAUUCUGCGAGGACGGCCAGACUUGGGACCGGGAGAGGUGUGGGGUACGCUCAGGGUAGGGGUAAAAUCCUGUCAUCCUGAGCGGACCACCUGUUGCGAAGGCGCCACACUAGAACGGAUCCGACGGUCAGGGACGAAGCCUAGGGGCACGAACCGGAUUAAAUACCCGGGUAGUCCUAGGUGUAAACGCUGUGGACUUGAUGUUGGGGGUGCUCCGAGCACU